UCUGAUUGGACGAGCAGUUUCAGCACAACUAGCACCAACUCGGUCAGUGUAGUUCAUAAACAAUUCAGCUUCCUAUCGGCUUCUCGGUUGAAUUAUUAUAUUCUUCGAAGUUCUGAGGAAAUCUCGUCGAAACUGUCUUGAGUUUCGUCUGAAUGGCUGAAUCCUCCGUUACAGACACAUCGAAGUUGAAUCCAGAGUCUGCCGAGUUUGUACCACAAGCUAAAACCACCCAGCCCUACUCUAGGAGAAGUUACAGGCAGCAGCACCACACUCAGGACUGGAGGGCUCAACAUGUUCGGCCUCAUCAUCACAUUAGACCGUCCGAUGAGACUAAGCUCAGUCAAGAUGAGUCUGACAACCCUGACAAUAAUGCAUUACUGCCUCCUGAACUUCCCAUCAGAGGAGAUGUAAGAGGUAGAGGAAGAGGAGGAAGACAAAGAGGAGGACGCGGUGAUGUUAGGCGCAUUAAUGACCGUCACGCUCCAAGCGAGAGAUCGACAAAACCUGGAAGUGAUAAUGACUCCUCAGGAUGGGAACACAGAGCUUGUGACCGUGAGCGACCCAACUCACCCACUUCUAAUAGAUCCACAGAUGAGGAUAAGAAAGAAAGAUCAGCUGUGGAAGCCAAUGUAAAAGUGUCUUAUCAAGCUAGCCGACGUAAACAGAUCAAUAAAGCAAGAGCAGAUAGAUCGAUAAAGGAGCCUCAGCCCAAGGACCAAGUGGAGAACCGGGAAAACCAGGCUGAUGCAGGAGUCACAAGGCCUGCAGCAGUUCAUGAACAUCCAGAGCCUGAGCAGAGGAACUUUAAGGGUUGGAGAGGUGGAGAUCGCCGCAUGCAGCCCAGUUCCUGGAGGAAAGGUCCGGCCCCUAGCCAUGGGAUUGAGGGUAACUGGAGAGAAAGAGAACCUGCUCAGAUCAGAGAGGAUGAGAGGAGAGGUGCAGAAGAUGAGGGCAGAAGACAAGAGGAGUCCAGCAGAAACAGAGGAGCUGUGAGAGGGGAGGAGAGGAGAGGUGUAGAAGAUGAGGGCAGAAGACAAGAGGAGUCCAGCAGAAACAGAGGAGCUGUGAGAGGGGAGGAGAGGAGAGGUGUAGAAGAUGAGAGCAGAAGACAAGAGGAGUCCAGCAGAAACAGAGGAGCUGUGAGAGGGGAUGAGAGGAGAGGUGCAGAAGAUGAGAGCAGAAGACAAGAGGAGUCCAGCAGAAACAGAGGAGCUGCGAGAGGGGAGGAGAGGAGAGGUGUAGAAGAUGAGGGCAGAAGACAAGAGGAGUCCAGCAGAAACAGAGAAGCUGUGAGAGGGGAGGAGAGGAGAGGUGCAGAAGAUGAGAGCAGAAGACACGAGGAGUCCAGCAGAAACAGAGGAGCUGUGAGAGGGGAGGAGAGGAGAGGUGUAGAAGAUGAGAGCAGAAGACACGAGGAGUCCAGCAGAAACAGAGGAGCUGUGAGAGGGGAGGAGAGGAGAGGUGCAGAAGAUGAGGGCAGAAGACAAGAGGAGUCCAGCAGAAACAGAGGAGCUGUGAGAGGGGAGGAGAGGAGAGGUGUAGAAGAUGAGGGCAGAAGACAAGAGGAGUCCAGCAGAAACAGAGGAGCUGCGAGAGGGGAGGAGAGGAGAGGUGCAGAAGAUGAGAGCAGAAGACACGAGGAGUCCAGCAGAAACAGAGGAGCUGUGAGAGGGGAGGAGAGGAGAGGUGUAGAAGAUGAGAGCAGAAGACACGAGGAGUCCAGCAGAAACAGAGGAGCUGUGAGAGGGGAGGAGAGGAGAGGUGCAGAAGAUGAGGGCAGAAGACAAGAGGAGUCCAGCAGAAACAGAGGAGCUGUGAGAGGGGAGGAGAGGAGAGGUGUAGAAGAUGAGGGCAGAAGACAAGAGGAGUCCAGCAGAAACAGAGGAGCUGCGAGAGGGGAGGAGAGGAGAGGUGCAGAAGAUGAGGGCAGAAGACAAGAGGAGUCCAGCAGAAACAGAGGAGCUGCGAGAGACAGAGGAGCUGUGAGAGGGGAGGAGAGGAGAGGUGCAGAAGAUGAGAGCAGAAGACACGAGGAGUCCAGCAGAAACAGAGGAGCUGUGAGAGGGGAGGAGAGGAGAGGUGCAGAAGAUGAGAGCAGAAGACAAGAGGAGUCCAGCAGAAACAGAGGAGCUGCGAGAGGGGAGGAGAGGAGAGGUGCAGAAGAUGAGAGCAGAAGACACGAGGAGUCCAGCAGAAACAGAGGAGCUGCGAGAGACAGAGGAGCUGCGAGAGGGGAGGAGAGGAGAGGUGUAGAAGAUGAGAGCAGAAGACAAGAGGAGUCCAGCAGAAACAGAGGAGCUGUGAGAGGGGAGGAGAGGAGAGGUGUAGAAGAUGAGGGAGGAAGACACGAGGAGUCCAGCAGGAACAGAGGAGCUGCGAGAGACAGAGGAGCUGUGAGAGGGGAGGAGAGGAGAGGUGUAGAAGAUGAGAGCAGAAGACAAGAGGAGUCCAGCAGAAACAGAGGAGCUGUGAGAGGGGAGGAGAGGAGAGGUGUAGAAGAUGAGGGAGGAAGACACGAGGAGUCCAGCAGAACCAGAGGAGCUGCGAGAGGGAAAAGGCCACUAAUACAGAAUCCAGGGUUGAGGAGAGGAGCAGGUCCAGAGCGACGGACCGGACUGGUGAAGCACGUGGAGCCUCCCAAAAGCAAAGAAACCCAGACAGGUUGUCUAAUUGAGCAGCUGACGGAGGAGAAGUAUGAGUGUAUGGUCUGUUGUGAAGUGAUUCGGGUCAUGGCUCCAGUUUGGAGCUGUCAGAGCUGUUACCACGUAUUUCACCUUAACUGCAUCAAGAAAUGGGCUCGCUCCCCAGCAUCUCAAGCUGAUGAUGGCAGUGAAGGUUGGCGUUGUCCUGCAUGCCAGCAUGUGGCUCUCAAAGCCCCUAAUGCAUACUCCUGCUUCUGUGGAAAGGUGACCAAUCCUGAGUUUCAGCGCACUGAGAUCCCUCAUAGCUGUGGAGAUAUGUGUGGGAAAAAGCGGAGUGGAGGGGAAUGCAAUCACCCCUGUAACAUCUUGUGCCAUCCUGGGCCCUGCCCACAGUGUCCAGCUUUUAUCACAAAGUCCUGCAUUUGUGGUAAAAUGAGAAAGCAGGUUCGUUGCAGUCAGACAGGACCUCUGCUUUGUGAGGAGGUCUGUGGAGCUCCUCUGAACUGCUCCGAGCACUUCUGUGCCCAGGUGUGCCAUUCAGGGCCAUGCCAACCCUGUCAACUUCGUGUUCAGCAAGCCUGCUUCUGUGGAGUGGCAUUCAGGGAGGUGGCGUGUGGGACUGAUCGGGAAAAGUUUGAUGGAUCAGGACAUUUCUCCUGUUGCAAGCCCUGUGGAAAGAUGCUUGACUGCCAGUCCCAUCGCUGUCAGCAGAUCUGCCAUCCUGGGCAGUGUCAGUCAUGUCCACUCAGCCCCAAGCUGGUGCACAGUUGUUCAUGUGGACAGACUCCAUUAUCUAAGCUUCUGGAGCUUGGCUAUCCAGAGAGAAAGAGCUGUACUGACCCGAUCCCCUCCUGUGGCAAGACCUGCAACAAGCCGCUGCCAUGUGGAGAUGGUGAUUCUGUCCACUUGUGUGAAAAGCUCUGCCAUGAGGACAGCUGUGGCCCGUGCUCUUUGACCUCAUCUAUUAAAUGCAGAUGUGGCAGCAACAGCAAGGAAGUUCCUUGUGCGGCCAUUCAGACUGAACAAGACAUGGUGUUUACGUGUGAGAAACGCUGCAACAAGAAGCGCUCCUGCGGCAGGCACAAGUGUGGAGAGUUGUGUUGUGUGGAUGUGGAGCAUAAGUGCUCAAUGAUUUGUGGUUACAAACUCAAUUGCGGUCUUCACCGAUGCCAGGACGUUUGUCACCGUGGGAACUGCCAGCCUUGUUGGCAAACUAGUUUUGAUGAGUUGGCGUGCUACUGUGGGGAGACUGUGCUCUUCCCGCCCAUCCCUUGUGGAACGAGACCUCCUGAAUGUAAAAACUUAUGUACCCGAAGUCAUGAUUGUGAUCAUCCAGUGUUCCAUUCAUGCCAUAGUGAGGAGAGAUGUCCUCCCUGUACCUACCUCACCAAGAAGUGGUGCAUGGGUAAUCAUGAGCAAAGGAGUAAUAUCCCAUGCCACCUGCAGGACAUCUCGUGUGGUUUAGUGUGUGACAAGCUCUUACCCUGUGGUUCUCAUCACUGUAAGAAAAUAUGUCACCGUGGGGAAUGCCAGGCAGAAGGAGAGUGUAAGCAGCCAUGCACUCACCCUAGAGCUAGCUGUGGACACCCCUGUGCUGCUCCGUGCCACCCAGGCACCCCCUGUCCACCCACCAUCUGCAGUGCCAAGGUGGCACUGCAGUGUGACUGUGGCCGAAAGAAAGAGACCGUUCCUUGUGCUGAUGCAGCCAGUUCCUACCAAAGAUAUGCAGCUAUUGCCGUUGCCAGUAAGCUGUCAGAUAUGCAGCUGGGAGAGUCCGUUGACAUUGGACCGCUCACAAAGAAAGAGCAGAGAAAGGCCAGGUUGGAGUGUGAUCAAGAAUGUGCUGCACUGGAGAGGAACAGGCGGCUGGCUGAGGCCCUGCAGAUUGAUCUGUCAGUGGAUCCCUUCAACAAGUCGGCGUCUUCCAAAUAUAGUGACUCUCUGAAAGAAGAUGCAAGGAAAGAUUUCAAGUUUGUUAGUGAAAUUGAAGAGGAGAUUAAGAAUUUAGUUGAACUGGUCAACAAGGGUAAACAGCCUAAAAGGAGUCACUGUUUUCCACCUAUGAAGCGCGAACAUCUGAGAAUUAUCCAUGAGCUAGCGGAGGCAUAUGGUGUGGAAACCGUCAGCUAUGAUAGCGAACCCAAGCGCAAUGUUGUGGUUACUGCCGUCAGGUCAAAAGAAACUCAGAUUUUAGAUUCGGCUUCCAACUGUAAUAGUGAAUACUAUUCUUUUUGGGGAAAUCAGUGUGUCCUAACACCAGUCUGGCUGCUUUGAUUGAAAGGGAAACUGUUUCCAGAGCUCCUCCUCCUAUUGCCCACAUCAAACAACACACAAGCAAGGCCGACAAUAGUAAUGCUUGGAUGAAUCAAUCUAAAGAGGAGCCCACAAUUGAUUAUUUUGAUGUACAGGAUUGACAUGAAAUUCUGAAUAGUCACUAUAAUAAUCACACAAAAUAAAACUGUCCGAAAAGAAUAGCAUUACAAUUCUGAAUAAAAAUGGUGAGGAUCUAAACCUAUGAUUUGUGGACCUGUUUGUUAGGAGCAACUAAGGAGCAAAUAUCUAGGAGUAAAAAUGUAUGUGGUUUCUGUGCACAUAUUAACUUGGGGGGAAAAAAGAAUUGUGGUAUGAAUUUGUAUUCUGAGACUGGACUUAGACAUUAUCAGUGACCUUGACAGUGUCAUCUUACACAAGUGUCAGGAGUGAAGUUGGACAUGAUCUGCAUCAGGAAGGUUGUUGGUAGUAAUUUCGUUUUACCAUACUUUGUUAAAGAAGGUGAAAAUAACUGUGCAUCUCAGCUCCAAUAAAUACUUCUGAAAGCACAA